GUCACAAUCCUGAAGAACUAUCAUGGUGGAUACAUUGGAGCGUGCUGGGAAAUCUAAGAAGCCAGGUACGUUCAGCCACUGAAAGGGGGAGCUUGUGGAGAGGUCUUUGGGAAACUGUAGCCCCUAUGUAGCUACCUCUUGAGUGAGUCCAAGCCUCUGGUGGCAGGCCUGGGGCCACUGUGGUCAGCAGGCCCAGAAUUGGGAAAGAGGUGCUGAAUGUGGGGCAGAGGAAAGUAAGGACAAGCUGGAGCCCACCAAACACCUCUGCAUCUGUCUGUCACCAAAUCUCCCCUUCAGGAAACAAUGGCCGUUCCUUCACUUCCACCUCCCCAUUCUCAUCCCAGUUCCUCUGUGGGCCAGAUCCCACUACAUAGGGAGGGAGCUUCUGACAAAUAUAGUUCCUGCUUAACCAAGUGGAAAAUAAAACUUGGACCAACACAAGCAACAAGACAGAAGCAGCUCAGGCCCUGCCACCAAGGAGCAACCAUACCAGACCCAGACUCUGCUCACGCGUGGACACUUGGGCAAGAGAGAAAUAAUUUCUACCUUGCUUAAGCUACUGCAAGUCUGGGUCUCUGUUUUUUCGGCUGAAUGCAUAUCCCAACUAAAACACCAUCCACGUUUCCACUUGUAACUGUCAUGUUAAAUUUCCAAUCCUUCCAGGUUGUAGAUCUGCUACUUGCCUUUCUUUCUCUGGCAGCUUCUGGGCUUCCCAUUCUGGUUGGCAGAGUCCCGCACCCACAGCCAGUGAUAGACCAAGCCUUGCUACUGCUCACUCUCAGGGGCUGCCGCAGCCCUCACCUAGGUCUUUCUUCCAGGCAGAAGAGAAACUGCCGCCCCUUGUGCCUUCCCUCAGGGCGCUGUCCUCAUCCGCGUGGUCAAGGCUGGGUUCCUGCCAUGUCUGCGUUUACAUCUCCGCAGGAAUGAGGAGAGAAAGGAAGCAGAGGAAGGACAAUUUCCUCUGAAGCAAGCCCACCUGUUCCAGACUCUGUGCCAGGCACCCAG
rnacentral:lncRNA from 1 species